rnacentral:rRNA from 1 species
GACGAACGCUGGCGGCGUGCUUAACACAUGCAAGUCGAACGGAAAGGCCCUGCUUUUGUGGGGUGCUCGAGUGGCGAACGGGUGAGUAACACGUGAGUAACCUGCCCUUGACUUUGGGAUAACUUCAGGAAACUGGGGCUAAUACCGGAUAGGAGCUCCUGCUGCAUGGUGGGGGUUGGAAAGUUUCGGCGGUUGGGGAUGGACUCGCGGCUUAUCAGCUUGUUGGUGGGGUAGUGGCUUACCAAGGCUUUGACGGGUAGCCGGCCUGAGAGGGUGACCGGCCACAUUGGGACUGAGAUACGGCCCAGACUCCUACGGGAGGCAGCAGUGGGGAAUAUUGCACAAUGGGCGGAAGCCUGAUGCAGCAACGCCGCGUGCGGGAUGACGGCCUUCGGGUUGUAAACCGCUUUCGCCUGUGACGAAGCGUGAGUGAAGGUAAUGGGUAAAGAAGCACCGGCUAACUACGU